rnacentral:rRNA from 1 species
UACGAAGGGGGCUAGCGUUGCUCGGAAUUACUGGGCGUAAAGCGCACGUAGGCGGCUUCUUAAGUCGGAGGUGAAAUCCUGGAGCUCAACUCCAGAACUGCCUUCGAUACUGGGAAGCUCGAGUCCGGGAGAGGUGAGUGGAACUGCGAGUGUAGAGGUGAAAUUCGUAGAUAUUCGCAAGAACACCGGUGGCGAAGGCGGGUCUCUGGGCCGAUACUGACGCUGAGGAGCGAAAGCGUGGGGAGCGAACAGG